rnacentral:rRNA from 1 species
AUUGAACGCUGGCGGCAGGCUUAACACAUGCAAGUCGAGCGAGCGGCGGACGGGUGAGUAAUGUCUGGGAAACUGCCCGAUGGAGGGGGAUAACUACUGGAAAAGGUAGCUAAUACCGCAUACCAUCAGAUGUGCCCAGGUGGGAUUAGCUGGUUGGGGGGGUAAGGGCUCACCUAGGCGACGAUCCCCAGCUGGUCUGAGAGGAUGACCAGCCACACUGGAACUGAGACACGGCCCAGACUCCGACGGGAGGCAGCAGUGGGGAAUAUUGCACAAUGGGCGAAAGCCGGAUGCAGCCAUGCCGCGUGGGUGAAGAAGGCCUUCGGGUUGUAAAGUACGUUCAGCGAGGAGGCGGUACUCGCAGAAGAAGCACCGGCUAACUCCGUGCCAGCAGCCGCGGUAAUAC